rnacentral:tRNA from 1 species
AGCAGUGUGGCUCAGUGGACAGAGCUUGGGCUUGGGAGUCAAAGGUCAUGGGUUUGAAUCCCGGCUCUGCCC